CCUACGGGGGGCAGCAGUGAGGAAUAUUGGUCAAUGGGAGAGAUCCUGAACCAGCCAAGCCGCGUGAGGGAAGACGGCCCUAUGGGUUGUAAACCUCUUUUGUCGGAGAACAAAACCCGGGACGAGUCCCGGACUGCGUGUAUCCGAAGAAAAAGCAUCGGCUAACUCCGUGCCCGCAGCCGCGGUAAUACGGAGGAUGCGAGCGUUAUCCGGAUUUAUUGGGUUUAAGGGGUGCGUAGGCGGUCUGUUAAGUCAGCGGGAAAAUUGCGGGGCCCAACCCCGUCGAGCCGUUGAAACUGGCAGACUUGAGUUGGCGAGAAGUACGCGGAAUGCGCGGUGUAGCGGUGAAAUGCAUAGAUAUCGCGCAGAACUCCGAUUGCGAAGGCAGCGUACCGGCGCCAGACUGACGCUGAGGCACGAAAGCGUGGGGAUCGAACAGGAUUAGAUACCCCUGUAGUC
rnacentral:rRNA from 1 species